CGCCUCUUGCUAUAUAAAAUAUAAGAGGUCCCGCCUGCCCUGUGAUCAAGCAUUUAACGGCCGCGGUACUCUGACCGUGCAAAGGUAGCGCAAUCACUUGUCUUUUAAUUGGAGACCUGUAUGAAUGGCACAACGAGGGCUUAACUGUCUCCCUUUUUUAGUCAAUGAAAUUGAUCUCCCCGUGCAGAAGCGGGGAUAACAACAUAAGACGAGAAGACCCUGUGGAGCUUUAGACAAUAAGUAGACUCUGUCAAGCACAUUAAAUUAAAAAGCCGAACAAAAAAUGUCCUACUUUGAUGUCUUUGGUUGGGGCGACCGCGGAGGAAAGAAAAUCCCCCAUGUGGUACAGAAAUACCCUUUCUUUAAUUAAGAGUGACAACUCUAAAUAUUAGAAUAUCUAACCCCCAUUGAUCCGGCUCCCAUGCCGACUAACGAACCUAGUUACCCCAGGGAUAACAGCGCAAUCCUCUCCUAGAGCCCAUAUCGACGAGAGGGUUUACGACCUCGAUGUUGGAUCAGGACAUCCUAUUGGUGCAGCAGCUAUUAAGGGUUCGUUUGUUCAACGAUUAAAGUCCU
rnacentral:rRNA from 1 species